CUGUGUUGACGAGUUGAAGGGUCAACUCAUAACCACAUACGGGAUUUUUACUAUUUAAGUUGGGGGUAUUCUGGACAUUUUUCCUCUUAACUCAUUUUGAUCCCAUGACAUAAAACAUCUUUUGGGACUUUAUUAACCCACUAUUCCCAAUCAAUCAUUAUUAAAAUCUCUCUCAAGUUCUUGGUUCAAGAAAAGGCUAGGGUUUCUACA
rnacentral:lncRNA from 1 species